rnacentral:lncRNA from 1 species
AGCUGAGGCACAUGCCUUGGGAGCUAAGUGGUUGCUGCCCUUGACCACUGUGAAGACUGGUGUGGGAAGGGUCGUUUUGGAUGCACUUGAGCAGGGGUCCCCAACCCCUGAGCCAUGGAGCCGCAAGGAGCCACACAGCAGGAGGUGGGAACAUCCAGUUGCAGGAAAACAAGCUUAACACGCCCACUGAUUCUACAUUAUGCUCCUACCUCCCGGCAGCCUCUCCAGGCCCAGAACUUUCUCCAGUCAGCCUCUACAGACCAAGCUCAUGACUCUCAAUGGCCUAUUUAGGCCCAUACCCUACGUCACGGCAGCCUCCGCAGAUGAGGCUACUGCCUCACAACAGCCUCCACAGGCACAGCUCCAUCGUUACAAUGGCCUCUUUAGACCCAGCUCCUGCCUCCCAGCCUUCUCUCCAGGCCCUGAACUUUCUCAACAGGGUCUCCCUCUGUUGUCCAAGGCUGGAGUGUAGUAGUGCUAUCGCAGCUGACUGCAGCCUCAACCUUCCAGGCUGAAGCGAUCCUCCCACCUCAACCUCCCACGUGGCUGAGACUACAGGUGCUUGCCA